GCCCGUCAUAUACCGAGGCCAACGAUCGAGCAAGCUUGCUUGCGAAGUGACUGAACGAGGUUCCAGGAAAAGCCACUAAGCUUCAGCUGCACACGACCGUACCGCAAACCGACACUGGUGCGCGAGAUGAGUAUUCUAAGGCGCUUGAGAGAACUCAGGAGAAGGAACUCGGCAAAUUGACACCGUAACUUCGGAAGAAGGUGUGCCCUAUUAGUGUGAAGUGAACAACGGAGCAUGAAUGGGUUGCAAAAAAUCGGUGGCUGCGACUGUUUAUUAAAAACACAGCACUCUGCAAACACGAAAGUGGACGUAUAGGGUGUGACGCCUGCCCGGUGCUGGAAGAUUAAAUGAUGGGGUGCAAGCUCUUGAUUGAAGUCCCAGUAAACGGCGGCCGUAACAAUAACGGUCCUAAGGUAGCGAAAUUCCUUGUCGGGUAAGUUCCGACCUGCACGAAUGGCGUAACGAUGGCCACACUGUCUCCUCCUGAGACUCAGCGAAGUUGAAAUGUUUGUGAUGAUGCAAUCUCCCCGCGGAAAGACGGAAAGACCCCAUGAACCUUUACUGUAGCUUUGUAUUGGACUUUGAACAGAUCUGUGUAGGAUAGGUGGGAGGCUUUGAAGCGGUGCCGCUAGGUAUCGUGGAGCCAACGUUGAAAUACCACCCUGGUGUGUUUGAGGUUCUAACCUAGGUCCAUUAUCUGGAUCGGGGACAGUGCAUGGUAGGCAGUUUGACUGGGGCGGUCUCCUCCCAAAGCGUAACGGAGGAGUUCGAAGGUACGCUAGUUACGGUCGGACAUCGUGACGAUAGUGCAAUGGCAUAAGCGUGCUUAACUGCGAGACUGACAAGUCGAGCAGAUGCGAAAGCAGGACAUAGUGAUCCGGUGGUUCUGUAUGGAAGGGCCAUCGCUCAACGGAUAAAAGGUACUCUGGGGAUAACAGGCUGAUACCGCCCAAGAGUUCAUAUCGACGGCGGUGUUUGGCACCUCGAUGUCGGCUCAUCUCAUCCUGGGGCUGUAGCCGGUCCCAAGGGUAUGGCUGUUCGCCAUUUAAAGAGGUACGUGAGCUGGGUUUAAAACGUCGUGAGACAGUUUGGUCCCUAUCUUCCGUGGGCGCUGCAGAUUUGAGGAAGCCUGCUCCUAGUACGAGAGGACCGGAGUGGACACACCUCUGGUGUAUCGGUUGUCACGCCAGUGGCAUUGCCGAGUAGCUAAGUGUGGAAGAGAUAAACGCUGAAAGCAUCUAAGCGUGAAACUCGUUUCAAGAUGAGAUCUGCCGGGGCCUUGAGCCCCCUGAAGAGUCGUUCUAGACCAGGACGUUGAUAGGUCAGGUGUGGAAGCGCAGUAAUGCGUUAAGCUAACUGAUACUAAUUGCUCGUGCGGCUUGACCCU
rnacentral:rRNA from 1 species